CGUGAGAUGUUGGGUUAAGUCCCGCAACGAGCGCAACCCCUAUUGUUAGUUGCUACGCAAGAGCACUCUAGCGAGACUGCGUUGACAAAACGGAGGAAGGUGGGGACGACGUCAAAUCAUCAUGCCCCUUAUGUCCUGGGCUACACACGUAAUACAAUGGCGGUCAACAGAGGGAUGCGAUACCGCAAGGUGGAGCGAACCCCUAAAAGCCGUCCCAGUUCAGAUUGUGGGCUGCAACCCGCCCACA
rnacentral:rRNA from 1 species